rnacentral:rRNA from 1 species
CCAAUAGCGUAUAUUAGUGUUGUUGCGGUUAAAAAGCUCGUAGUUGAAUUUCGGGAUUGGGAUAUAUCGGUCGUGCCUUUAGGGGCAUGAAUCAGUGUGUGGCCAAUUCUCACCUUCUGGUGAAUUGGGAUGCUCUCGGGUGUUUCAAUGAACUAGGACUUUUACUUUGAAAAAAUUAGAGUGUUUAAAGCGGGCAUUUUUGCUUGAAUACGUUAGCAUGGAAUAAUAAAAUAGGACGAUGGUUCUAUUUUGUUGGUUUUAGGACCACGUAAUGAUUAAUAGGGAUAGUUGGGGGCAUUAGUAUUCAAUUGUCAGAGGUGAAAUUCUUGGAUUUAUUGAGGACUAACUACUGCGAAAGCAUUUGCCAAGGAUGUUUUCAUUAAUCAAGAACGAAAGUUAGGGGAUCAAAGACGAUUUAUGUACGUCGUAGUCCUAACCAUAAACUAUGCCGACUAGGAAUCAGACAAAGUUAAUUUUUUAACGACUUGUUUGGGACCUUACG